rnacentral:rRNA from 1 species
GCGUCAGACUGGAACGCGCCUGACGGUGAGGGACGAAAGCCAGGGGAGCGAACCGGAUUAGAUACCCGGGUAGUCCUGGCCGUAAACGAUGCAUACUAGGCAAUGGUGCGGCUAUGAGCCGCAUCAGUACCGUAGGGAAACCGUUAAGUGUGCCGCCUGGGAAGUACGGUCGCAAGGCUAAAACUUAAAGGAAUUGGCGGGGGAGCACCACAAGGGGUGAAGCCUGCGGUUCAAUUGGACUCAACGCCGGGAAACUUACCAGGGGAGACAGCAGAAUGACAGUCAGGUUGACGACCUUACUCGACGAGCUGAGAGGAGGUGCAUGGCCGUCGCCAGUUCGUGCUGUGAGGUAUCCUGUUAAGUCAGGCAACGAACGAGAUCCGCGCCUUUAUUUGCCAUCAAGAAGUCACGACUUCGUUGGGAACACUAAAGGGACCGCCGUCGAUAAGACGGAGGAAGGAGCGGGCAAAGGCAGGUCAGUAUGCCCCGAAACCCCUGGGCUACACGCGGGCUGCAAUGGUGCGAACAAUGGGCUGUAACUCCGAAAGGAGAAACCAAUCCCGAAAUCGCAUCUCAGUGGGGAUUGUCGACUGUAACUCGUUGACAUGAACGUGGAUCCCUAGUAAUCGCGUGUCACCAUCGCGCGGUG